rnacentral:snRNA from 1 species
ACGCUCACUUCAGUAGCACAUGCACUGAGACUGGAACCAUACAGAGAAGACUGGCAUGGCUCUUGCACAAGGACGGCUCAUAAACUUGUGAAGCGUUCCAUAUUUUU